GUGAUCAAUCUUUCCAGCCAAGAGCUCUGACAGCUCUUUGCCCUUAGAGAACAUUUAAACCACAUACACUUGCUUAGAUCAUAUGUGCAGGAAGAGGAUGCCCUCGGUGCGGAGCGAAGAAAACCUCAGGAUUUCUCUCAGCCUUUAACGCCUUUAACACAAACAUUUAUCAUUUAGAUUCAAAGCUUGAGAGGAGAUUUUAUCCUGGUGCAAACAGGAGUGAAUGGAAUGAAGGAGCUGGACUUUGUUGGUGCACAAAAGAACAAACAGAUUUUCCGUGGGAUCAAUUAUUUGCUGGGGAUGUGAAUGCUGACAGGAGGACGGGGUCGGGCGCGUUCUUCGUCUGUUCCCAAACGAAGGGAGACGUCUGGGAGACAAGUGGGCCAAAAUGCGAGGCCAGGCCAAGUGUUUCUCAAAAAUAUAAGGAUGUUUAUUUAAGUUGCAAUGCAUCAGCAUACCAUUUAUUUGGUGUGUUUGUAAGUUUUUUUAAACAUUAAAGGGAAAAAUGCACCAUUCGUUUCUAUUACAUGUCACUAAAAUGUGCCAAUCUGUGCUAGAUCCAUUUUUUUUAAUUUUUGAAUAUUUUUAACCAUUAUAAAGUAUCACACGUUUGUAUUUAUUUGAUGCUUUCUGUAUUUUUUGUUUGUUAUGUUAUUGUUUUUCUAUGUGGGAUGCACAAAUCUGGUGACUAAAAAUCUAAAAUAAAAGUCAGGGAUCCCAAAAUAUGUGUAUGUCUUCACGUUUGUGAGGUUUUCUGGAUAUAAUUGAAAAUUCUGGAACAAUGAACAUUUUCUGUACUUUUUUACGCAUCUUUUCUUUCAAUAAAACUGCUAGUAUGCCAUUAUGUCUUUUUGAAAUAAAACAAUGUAAUUACACCACAA